GAAAAAUUCAUGAGACAGACAGAAUUAACCAUCAUUUUAAGUCAUCUUUUGGUGUCAAAUUGCAACAGAGAUAACACAAGCUUAAUUGACAUUUAGUAAACUU